rnacentral:rRNA from 1 species
UCCAGACUCCUACGGGAGGCAGCAGUGGGGGAUAUUGCACAAUGGGGGGAACCCUGAUGCAGCGACGCCGCGUGGGUGAAGGAGCGUUUCGGCGCGUAAAGCCCUAUCGGCAGGGAAGAAGGAGGACGGUACCUGACUAAGAAGCCCCGGCUAACUACGUGCCAGCAGCCGCGGUAAUACGUAGGGGGCAAGCGUUAUCCGGAUUUACUGGGUGUAAAGGGGGCGCAGACGGCAGCGCAAGCCAGGAGUGAAAGCCCGGGGCCCAACCCCGGGACUGCUCUUGGAACUGCGCGGCUGGAGUGCAGGAGGGGCAGGCGGAAUUCCUGGUGUAGCGGUGAAAUGCGUAGAUAUCAGGAGGAACACCGGUGGCGAAGGCGGCCUGCUGGACUGCAACUGACGUUGAGGCCCGAAAGCGUGGGGAGCAAACAGGAUUAGAUACCCGCGUACU